GCUUUCGUGGCUCAGUUGGCUAGAGCGUUGGUCUCAUAUGUUGAAUAUGACGUUAUUGAUAUAAAUAAACAAUCACGGUGAUCCAAAGGUCGCAAGUUCGAGCCUUUGCCGAGAGCA
rnacentral:tRNA from 1 species